rnacentral:lncRNA from 1 species
UAAUAAAAAACUGGAAAGAAUGGCACAUAUUUAAAAAUUAGACACUUUUGGGGGUGUGCAUUCAUUUAAAAAAAAAAAAAAAACCUCCUAGAACGAAACCAAAAUGAAGUGUUUGGCUUAUAUUAUUUUAGCCUAACUUCAGAACUUUGACGACACCAUUCACUGAAAUAACAAAUAAAAGAGGUAAUCUAAGUUUCUCUACGCCG